rnacentral:rRNA from 1 species
GACGAACGCUGGCGGCGUGCUUAACACAUGCAAGUCGAACGGAAAGGCCCUGCUUUUGUGGGGUGCUCGAGUGGCGAACGGGUGAGUAACACGUGAGUAACCUGCCCUUGACUUUGGGAUAACUUCAGGAAACUGGGGCUAAUACCGGAUAGGAGCUCCUGCUGCAUGGUGGGGGUUGGAAAGUUUCGGCGGUUGGGGAUGGACUCGCGGCUUAUCAGCUUGUUGGUGGGGUAGUGGCUUACCAAGGCUUUGACGGGUAGCCGGCCUGAGAGGGUGACCGGGAAAAUGGGAAGGGGAGUACGGGCGGAAGCAGUGGGGGAGACAGCGGGGGGGAAGGUAGCCUAAGGGAGCGAGGCCGAGGGGGGGAUGCCGGGGUUGGGGUUGUGGACUUCGGGUGUGAAACCGGCUUCCCCCUGGUUGGAAGGGUGGUGACGGUAGUGGGAGAAGAAGCACCGGCUAACUACGUG